ensembl:lncRNA
CCUGCAUAGGCGCAUCUGCUCAGUGUCCUCCUCAGUCAUGCCGAUUACAUAAUUGUUGCUGAGGAGGACUAAUGAGGGAACAUAGCUGUCUGUUAGUUUUUAGUGUGGACACAAAACGGCCAACAAAAAGCCAAGUUUAAAACCAGCCCACCGAGACUUUAAAGCGACAUCCAGAGUGAUUCCGUAGAAACAUGCACUGAACAGGCGGAAAUGGAGGCUAUGCUACAAACCUGACUGCUCAUCACUGCCUUCGUUGCCUGUUGAAGUUCAUGGUCUGACUGCUGGGCUGAGGGAGAGAAAGAAAAAGAGCUAACUUCAAUCAGAGUUGGAGAAAGAUAAGAAAGACUGGAGAGGAAGAGAAGGGUUGUAUUUAAUGCAUCUGUCCAUCCGUCCGUGGCAGGGGGAGUUGGAGCCUAUUAACCACCAAUUUAGGGCGUAUCCAUGAUAACCUCUGGGGAAGUACCUUUCUUUUCCUCCCUGGAGCAAGAAGAUUUUUCACCAAAGCAGAAACUCAUUAUCAGUUCCUCAUUCUGUCUGCUUCACUUUUCAGAGGUUGCCUUUCAUAUGCUACUUCAGUUUCCAUUAAUUAUGUCUUUUUAUGGGUCAUUUCAGCCUCCACUUUAUGGCUAAGACUGCAUGCAGAUAGUACCCAAGUAGAUAUUGCAGCAAACUACAGUGUUUAUUUGCAUUUGCUCAGAAAUGUUUCAACAGAUUGCUUGUCAGAAGCAUACAACACUGCUGCUAUUACUAGGAGGGCAAGCCCCACAUAAAAUCCAUGAGGAGCAGAAUACCGGAAGGCAUCAGAAGUUUCUCUGAAAAGAAGAAAUUGAUUGCAAUUAGCAGAGAGAUUUUUUUCAAGUGUUUUUCUCCCCCCUCUAGUGAUGCUAAUAA